CAUAACUUUCUCUGCAAGAAGCAGGCACCAUGAACACAAGGGCUGACCUGCCAGGGUCUCCCUGGGCAAGGAAAACCCCUCCAAAGCAGUGAACAGGACUUCCUGGCUAGGAACCCAGAAAAUAAAAGAUUCUUUUGUCUUCCUAGGAAAUGCUCACUUCCAACCAUGAGAGGAAUAACAAGGAGAGGUCAACAGAUGAGACACCUGGUUCUGCCUUUCAACUUCCUGGGUGACCAAAAGCAUGUCACUCAGCAUCCCUGGGCUCUCUUACCCAUCUGUGCAUAAUUGCUUCUCUCCACUGCAGCUGUGACUCUGUGAACAACUCCGAACAAAGGAUGAGCCCCCUGGGGGCAAGAAAUGGGACGUUUUCGUGCUUGUACUAAAGCAGAGUGCCUGACACUGUCGAUCCUCAAUUAAAAGGUCACUGAAAGGAUGGACUCCAGAUGACUGGAUGGACAGGUAAAUGGUGUUCCUGGAGUUGUGCAGUGGGCAAGUUCUGAGCCCACCUUUGCUGCGGAGGCUCUGGAGCGACAGGCACAGCGAUGGACCCAGGAUGUGAGCUUUCCAGCCUCCGAGCAACUUGGCAUCUGUAUGAGAAAACCCAGUCAGCCCUCAUCUCAGACGCAGGUGCAACACAUAUGGCCGUCAAGCUGGGCAGACCUGAGUUUGAAUCCUGAGCCUACCGCUCGUUAACUGUUAGACCCUGAAAAAGUGCCUCAACCUCUCUUGAGCCUCCACUUUCCAUACCUGUCAUGUUUAUUUAACAAUACCUACCUCUCAGCAUUUUCAUGAAAGUUUUAAGAUGAUAUUAUUAUGAGUAGCAGCUGUACAGCAGUAAUAAUAACUCAUGUAUACUGAGUGCAUUUAUAUGCCCUGUACUAUGCUGAGAACUUUACAUACGUUACCACAUUACCUGACUUAACCUUCACAACACCUCUCUGAAGAAUUGCUGUUACAUAACAGCCCCAUUUUACCUGCAAGAAAUGGAAGCUCAGAGUUCUUUGUUGCCCAGGUCACAUGGUUAGCAAAUGGAGUCAGGGUCAGAAUUUGAACCCUGGUCUGCGUGCGCCUCCAGCCCACCAAUAUGAGUCUUAAUGAACAAAGUACCUACCAUAUAGUAGACCCUUAACAAAUGGGAGUUCGAGUCCUUUCUUUCUCCCCUAAAUGCACAGAUUUUCACAGUGCCCUCUGAGAUUUGCUUUAGAGCUUGCCCACAUGGAGUUUUCAGAAAGUCAGGAGAAAGCGAGGUGGUGGGUGCAUCCCCCGAUCCAGGGCCCCCUCCCUCCCCCCGCUCAGCCUUCCUUCCUUUUAGGGUUUGGCAAAGGCUGCUUCACUCGAGGCCUCUCAUGGAGCUGGAAACAAUGCGAGUUUAUUUUGGCACGGCAAAGAGGGCCCGAUUCCCCUUCUCUGGACGCCUCUGUGGGAAGAGGACUAGAGAAUGUGGCCCAGGCCGCUGUCAGUUCCCGUUACUCUCCCCAGCACGUCCACGGCCGAGUCACAGCCAUCACAUGUAGCUCUGAGAAGGAAAUGAGAUAAGAGCUUUCUUUCCACUUCAGACUGAUCAUAAAAUUCCCCCUCCUCUCUCCACGCUCCCCCUCAAAAAGAAGUUGAACCAAGGACAUGGUGCUGCCGUUAAACUGAAUACUCUUAGCAGAUCUCUUCUCAGUCCUGUGGGGACAUCCUCACCUGGGUAUUUGGCUACCUGUGGCAGACACGAUAAGCAGGGCCCAUGGCCAGUGUGGUGAUGGAAGUCAUAGACACUCAGAGUGGCAAGGGACUGUCACUGUCCUCUGAUCCCAGCCCCUACCUGGCUUAGAUUCAGAUUCAGCCAGUAUUUAUCAGAUGCCAACCCUGGGCCAAGCCAGGAGUGCUUUUGCAUCUGUUAUUUCAUAUUUCAGAAUCCACACAACGUUCUUUUUGGAAAGGCCUUACUUUCCCAUUUUUACAAAUGUGGAAACUGUGGCUCAGAGAGGUCAAGUAGUUGGCUCAAGAUCAUGACGUGAGUAGGUCAGUGGUAGCGCUAGGAUAUGGUCUUCCAGCUCUGAGACCAAGCCCUGUCUGUCCCAGGCACAGGAGGAGUCUCUUCUACAACACUCCAGGUAGAAGGUUCAUCCAGACUUUGAAUUCCUUGGGUGUUCCUUAUUUCUAAGGAAAGUCUCAUCUAAAAUGUUUUUAGGGGUUGAACUAAAACCUACCUCUCUGUCACUUUCAUCUAUGGGUCCUGUAAGUCCUAAAUCUAACUCCAGGCAAAGGGAAGAAAGCCAGAGCUCUGCCCUUGGCCAUGUCUGUUCUUCAGAGAUGAGAAGAUGGCCCCAGAUGACCCUUGGCUGCCCCAUCCCUGUCCUAGAACCAGCCCUGCCACUUCCUAAAUGUGGACUCAUUUCUUAACAUCUCUGAGUUGCCAUCAGAUGGGGGCGAUUGUGUCUACGUUGCCAGAUGGCUGAGGGACUCAAUGAGAGGAUGUCUCAAAUGCACUUCCCCCACAGCCUGCACACAAUUAGCUCUCAGCCAAUGGCAGCUAUUGUUGUUUUAUCAUCAAUAGUAUUUAACCUCUCCAAACCUUGUCUCCUUUUCUAUGGAGUGGGAAUUAUAAUACCUACUUUCGUUUCCCCCAUCAACGCAAGUAGGCAUUCCAAUAAUACCAACUUCACAUGUCUGGGAGGAACGCACAAUGAUGCAGGCAGAGAGGGCUCAGAAACUUUGAAAAGUGGGUCACGUGCUCUGGCACCCUGGCUGCCUUUUUGGGGAGCCUGUUUCCUGAGCCUUCUGUCCUUCACCAGAAUUUUCAGGGUUGUGAUGUUUUUCUCUUCAAAAGCAUCUCCUCUGUAGCCCACUCCCCACCCCCAACAAACUUUUUUAAGCUAAAGAGAAAAAAAAACCAUAAAAAUAGACAAGUGUUUAGUUGGCCAGGUGCAGUGGCUCACGCCUGUAAUCCCAGCACUUUGGGAGGCUGAGGCAGGUGGAUCUCUUGAGGUCAGGAGUUUGAGACCAGCCUGGCCAACAUGGUGAAACCCUGUCUCUACUAAAAAUACAAAAAAAGUAGCCGAGUGUGGUGGUGGACGCCUGUAAUUCCAGCUACUUGGGAGGCUGAGGUGGGAGAAUUGCUUGAACCUGGGAGGUGGAGGUUGCAGUGAGCCGAGAUCACGCCACUGCACUCCAGCCUGGGUGACAGAGUGAGACUCCGUCUCCAAAAACCAAAAACCAAAACAAAACCAAAAGAAAA